CCAGGCGUUAUGUGUCUGGCAAUACAAGAACAUAAUGCCAUCUGUGGCUUUGCCAAAGAGAAAGAAUAGACACUGUCUUUCUAUUUUUAGUAGAGACAGGGUUUCACCAUGUUAGCCAGGAUGGUCUAGAUCUGCUGACCUCGUGAUCCGCCCACCUCGGCCUCCCAAAGUGCCGGGAUUACAGGCGUGAGCCACCGCGCCCGGCAGAAGAAACAUUUCUAAUGAGGUAUUGAUCAGUCAAAACGAUACAGAUGUUUUACACAGAGAUAAUAUUUUAAAUAAGAAUGAUUAAAAUACCUUCAGGAGACUACCAGGCUGCUA
rnacentral:lncRNA from 1 species